UGGGGAAUCUUCCGCAAUGGACGAAAGUCUAACGGAGCAACGCCGCGUGAGUGAAGACGGCCUUCGGGUUGUAAAGCUCUGUUAUUCGGGAAGAACGAUUCGUUUGUGAACAAUGAACGGAAGUGACGGUACCGAAAGAGAAAGCCACGGCUAACUACGUGCCAGCAGCCGCGGUAAUACGUAGGUGGCAAGCGUUGUCCGGAAUUAUUGGGCGUAAAGAGCGCGUAGGCGGUAUGGUAAGUCUGUCUUAGAAGUGCGGGGCUUAACCCCGUGAGGGGACAGAGACUGUCAUACUGGAGUCUCGGAGAGGAAAGCGGAAUUCCUAGUGUAGCGGUGAAAUGCGUAGAGAUUAGGAAGAACACCGGUGGCGAAGGCGGCUUUCUGGACGAGCACUGACGCUGAGGCGCGAAAGCGUGGGGAGCGAACAGG
rnacentral:rRNA from 1 species